rnacentral:misc_RNA from 1 species
GAAAUGCGAUAAGUAAUGUGAAUUGCAGAAUUCAGUGAAUCAUCGAAUCUUUGAACGCACAUUGCGCCUCCUGGUAUUCUGGGGGGCAUGCCUGUUCGAGCGUCAUUACAACCCUCAAGCUCUGCUUGGUAUUGGGUGCCAUUGUCUAAGUGCACCUUAAAAUUAGUGGCAGUGCCAUUUGGCUUCAAGCGUAGUAAUUUUCUCGUUCUGGAGGACUGCAUGAGCGCUUGCCAACAAACUCCAAUUUUAUCAAAUGUUGACCUCGGAUCAGGUAGGGAUACCCGCUGAACUUAA